CCUACGGGAGGCAGCAGUGGGGAAUUUUGGACAAUGGGCGCAAGCCUGAUCCAGCAAUGCCGCGUGAGUGAAGAAGGCCUUCGGGUUGUAAAGCUCUUUUGUCAGGGAAGAAACGGUGGAGGUUAAUACCUUCUGCUAAUGACGGUACCUGAAGAAUAAGCACCGGCUAACUACGUGCCAGCAGCCGCGGUAAUACGUAGGGUGCAAGCGUUAAUCGGAAUUACUGGGCGUAAAGCGUGCGCAGGCGGUUGUGCAAGACAGAUGUGAAAUCCCCGGGCUCAACCUGGGAAUUGCAUUUGUGACUGUACGGCUAGAGUGUGUCAGAGGGGGGUAGAAUUCCACGUGUAGCAGUGAAAUGCGUAGAGAUGUGGAGGAAUACCGAUGGCGAAGGCAGCCCCCUGGGAUAACACUGACGCUCAUGCACGAAAGCGUGGGGAGCAAACAGGAUUAGAUACCCUGGUAGUCCACGCCCUAAACGAUGUCUACUAGUUGUCGGGUUCUUUAUUGACUCGGUAACGCGAGCUACGCGUGAGUAGACCGCCGUCGGGAGGUACGGUCGCGAGAAGUUAAACGUUAAAGUAAGUAGUAGACGNGNGAGAGACGACGACGACGACGACGGAGGGAGGNGG
rnacentral:rRNA from 1 species